rnacentral:rRNA from 1 species
GACGAACGCUGGCGGCGUGCUUAACACAUGCAAGUCGAACGAGUGGCGAACGGGUGAGUAAUACGUGGGUAACCUGCCCUCCUUUUUGGGAUAAGCCUUGGAAACGGGGUCUAAUACCGCAUAGUGAGGGAUGGGCUCGCGGCCUAUCAGCUUGUUGGUGGGGUGAUGGCUACCAAGGCGUGACGGGUAGCCGGCCUGAGAGGGUGACCGGCCAGAUUGGGACUGGGAGACGGCCCAGGCUCCUACGGGAGGGAGCAGGGGGGGGUAUUGCACAAUGGGCGAAAGCCUGAUGCAGCGACUCCGGGUGAAGGAAGACGGUCUUCGGAUUGUAAACUUCUUUGGACAGGGACGCGGUACCUGUAGAAUAAGCCACGGCUAACUACGUGCCAGCAGCCGCGGUAAUAC